rnacentral:tRNA from 1 species
GGGCCCGUAGAUUAGUCCGGUAAAUCGUUCCCUUGGCAUGGGAGAGAUCUCGGGUUCGAAUCCCGACGGGUACA